rnacentral:lncRNA from 1 species
GUCAGUCACCUCACCGCGUCUGGCGGAUCUCUCGGGCUCUCAGUGCGGGUCCUGUAGGUGAUCCGUUGCAGAUGAAGCCUGUGUUUGAGCGGCACGCGUUUGGGCUGAACCCCUGACUGCGGACAGCAGCCGAGCGAUUUCUAAUGAUGCAGAGUGAAGACCGCAAGAGAAAGAAACACAGUUUGAACCCCAGAAGCGUGUCAGACGAGUACAGUCUGCGUGAGCGACCGAAAGACGAAGCCACAAAGAUGAAGAAUAAAGUUUCUACUUCACAAGGCAGGAAACAGAAUCUUCUUGCAUGCUUUAUAAAAACACACACUGUGCCGAUGAGUCUGGCUUCAUGUUAUCUAGUGUGUCUAAUGUUGCUCUGUAUUUCAUAG